CAGAGUGGAUGCCUGCAGCAUCUUCCCUAAGAAAAGGUCAAGCAAUGUGUUCUUCCACACAUUGCUUGGUCAAAGCUUCUGAGUUUGCAAUUGUCUGCAGGAAGCGAACGGAGCCGGAGAAAGGGGUAAACCAGAGUCUUCACACAUGCAAACACCACUAAAACAGGGGUCUCUCCGGGGAGCCCCACAUGUCUCUUACACAGGCCGGAUGUGGUGACCCAUCACAGGCAGCGUGGAGAAGCACGGACGAGGGAGCGGGCUGGAGUCUGUGCCGGGGGUGUCACCGCCUCAUAGCUUCCACUGGAGUCAGGCGGUGUCAGCCGCGCAUAGCAGCUUGGCUUGUGAUUUUUCUGUAGACGAACUUUCUGGAGGCUGAGUCCUGAGCUGACACCUAUCUGGUGACACUCUCCCGACUGCUUUACGACCUGGGAUGGCACUGAAUGGCCAGACAGAGCAAGGGAACCAGCUUGACUCCUCCUUUUAUCAGUUACUUUGAAGUGUGUCAUUGUUGCUUGGAAAAUUAAACUUCAUUUGUGUG